UUAAGCGACUAAGCGUACACGGUGGAUGCCCUGGCAGUCAGAGGCGAUGAAGGACGUGCUAAUCUGCGAAAAGCGUCGGUAAGGUGAUAUGAACCGUUAUAACCGGCGAUGUCCGAAUGGGGAAACCCAGUGCAAUUCGUUGCACUAUCGUUAACUGAAUACAUAGGUUAACGAGGCGAACCGGGGGAACUGAAACAUCUAAGUACCCCGAGGAAAAGAAAUCAACCGAGAUUCCCCCAGUAGCGGCGAGCGAACGGGGAGCAGCCCAGAGUCUGAAUCAGCUUGUGUGUUAGUGGAACGGUCUGGAAAGUCCGACGGUACAGGGUGAUAGUCCCGUACACCAAAAUGCACAGGCUGUGAACUCGAAGAGUAGGGCGGGACACGUGGUAUCCUGUCUGAAUAUGGGGGGACCAUCCUCCAAGGCUAAAUACUCCUGACUGACCGAUAGUGAACCAGUACCGUGAGGGAAAGGCGAAAAGAACCCCGGCGAGGGGAGUGAAAAAGAACCUGAAACCGUGUACGUACAAGCAGUGGGAGCACCUUCGGGUGUGACUGCGUACCUUUUGUAUAAUGGGUCAGCGACUUAUAUUCUGUAGCAAGGUUAACCGUAUAGGGGAGCCGCAGGGAAACCGAGUCUUAACUGGGCGUUAAGUUGCAGGGUAUAGACCCGAAACCCGGUGAUCUAGCCAUGGGCAGGUUGAAGGUUGGGUAACACUAACUGGAGGACCGAACCGACUAAUGUUGAAAAAUUAGCGGAUGACUUGUGGCUGGGGGUGAAAGGCCAAUCAAACCGGGAGAUAGCUGGUUCUCCCCGAAAGCUAUUUAGGUAGCGCCUCGUGAACUCAUCUUCGGGGGUAGAGCACUGUUUCGGCUAGGGGGUCAUCCCGACUUACCAACCCGAUGCAAACUACGAAUACCGAAGAAUGUUAUCACGGGAGACACACGGCGGGUGCUAACGUCCGUCGUGAAGAGGGAAACAACCCAGACCGCCAGCUAAGGUCCCAAAGUCAUGGUUAAGUGGGAAACGAUGUGGGAAGGCACAGACAGCCAGGAUGUUGGCUUAGAAGCAGCCAUCAUUUAAAGAAAGCGUAAUAGCUCACUGGUCGAGUCGGCCUGCGCGGAAGAUGUAACGGGGCUAAACCAUGCACCGAAGCUGCGGCAGCGACACUAUGUGUUGUUGGGUAGGGGAGCGUUCUGUAAGCCUGCGAAGGUGUGCUGUGAGGCAUGCUGGAGGUAUCAGAAGUGCGAAUGCUGACAUAAGUAACGAUAAAGCGGGUGAAAAGCCCGCUCGCCGGAAGACCAAGGGUUCCUGUCCAACGUUAAUCGGGGCAGGGUGAGUCGACCCCUAAGGCGAGGCCGAAAGGCGUAGUCGAUGGGAAACAGGUUAAUAUUCCUGUACUUGGUGUUACUGCGAAGGGGGGGACGGAGAAGGCUAUGUUAGCCGGGCGACGGUUGUCCCGGUUUAAGCAUGUAGGCUGGUUAUCCAGGCAAAUCCGGAUAAUCAAGGCUGAGGUGUGAUGACGAGGCACUACGGUGCUGAAGUAACAAAUGCCCUGCUUCCAGGAAAAGCCUCUAAGCAUCAGGUAACAUUAAAUCGUACCCCAAACGACACAGGUGGUCAGGUAGAGAAUACCAAGGCGCUUGAGAGAACUCGGGUGAAGGAACUAGGCAAAAUGGUGCCGUAACUUCGGGAGAAGGCACGCUGGUGUGUAGGUGAAGCCCCUGCGGGUGGAGCUGAGACCAGUCGAAGAUACCAGCUGGCUGCAACUGUUUAUUAAAAACACAGCACUGUGCAAACACGAAAGUGGACGUAUACGGUGUGACGCCUGCCCGGUGCCGGAAGGUUAAUUGAUGGGGUUAUCCGUAAGGAGAAGCUCUUGAUCGAAGCCCCGGUAAACGGCGGCCGUAACUAUAACGGUCCUAAGGUAGCGAAAUUCCUUGUCGGGUAAGUUCCGACCUGCACGAAUGGCGUAAUGAUGGCCAGGCUGUCUCCACCCGAGACUCAGUGAAAUUGAACUCGCUGUGAAGAUGCAGUGUACCCGCGGCAAGACGGAAAGACCCCGUGAACCUUUACUAUAGCUUGACACUGAACAUUGAGCCUUGAUGUGUAGGAUAGGUGGGAGGCUUUGAAGCGUGGACGCCAGUCUGCGUGGAGCCAACCUUGAAAUACCACCCUUUAAUGUUUGAUGUUCUAACGUUGGCCCCUUACCGGGGUUGCGGACAGUGUCUGGUGGGUAGUUUGACUGGGGCGGUCUCCUCCCAAAGCGUAACGGAGGAGCACGAAGGUUAGCUAAUCCUGGUCGGACAUCAGGAGGUUAGUGCAAUGGCAUAAGCUAGCUUGACUGCGAGCGUGACGGCGCGAGCAGGUGCGAAAGCAGGUCAUAGUGAUCCGGUGGUUCUGAAUGGAAGGGCCAUCGCUCAACGGAUAAAAGGUACUCCGGGGAUAACAGGCUGAUACCGCCCAAGAGUUCAUAUCGACGGCGGUGUUUGGCACCUCGAUGUCGGCUCAUCACAUCCUGGGGCUGAAGUAGGUCCCAAGGGUAUGGCUGUUCGCCAUUUAAAGUGGUACGCGAGCUGGGUUUAGAACGUCGUGAGACAGUUCGGUCCCUAUCUGCCGUGGGCGCUGGAGAAUUGAGGGGGGCUGCUCCUAGUACGAGAGGACCGGAGUGGACGCAUCACUGGUGUUCGGGUUGUCAUGCCAAUGGCACUGCCCGGUAGCUAAAUGCGGAAGAGAUAAGUGCUGAAAGCAUCUAAGCACGAAACUUGCCCCGAGAUGAGUUCUCCCUGAGACUUUAAGUCUCCUGAAGGAACGUUAAAGACGAUGACGUUGAUAGGCCGGGUGUGUAAGCGCAGCGAUGCGUUGAGCUAACCGGUACUAAUGAACCGUGAGGCUUAACCUU
rnacentral:rRNA from 1 species